CUGUAGCUCAGCUGGAUAGAGCAACGGCCUUCUAAGCCGUAGGUCAGGGGUUCGAAUCCCUUCAGG
rnacentral:tRNA from 1 species